GGUGGAGGAUCCACAAUCUAUCAAAUAGUUGUCUACAGGAUUGUAUCCUAAUGAAACACAUAUAACACAUAAUAUUGAAGAAACCCAGAUAAGCAACAUAGAACCGCCACUAUUCACCAUGUCAAGAUCACCAGAAGUACACAGAGAGUAAGACGGAAACUUUAAGAAGCAAAAGCCAGAUUACAAAAUAAAAAUUCAAAAGAAGUUGGGAAACUCAGAUUACAAA
rnacentral:misc_RNA from 1 species